UCCGGACAUCGAGUCACUAUUGCUAGAUGGUUACAUCGAUUAGUAUAAAAAAUUAUUUUUAUACUACUGACUUAGGUUCGAACCUAUGGAAUCACAUGCAUUAGAAUAUUCGAUUAGAUCUGAUGGCUGAAGAGUCCAAUUGGAUUGUGACUCUGGUGAGGAGUCCCACUAGGACUGAAACUCUGGAGAAGAGUCCCAUUGGACUAGGACUCUAUCAUUAAU
rnacentral:lncRNA from 1 species